rnacentral:rRNA from 1 species
CACGUAGGCGGAUUAGUAAGUUAGGGGUGAAAUCCCGGGGCUCAACCUCGGAACUGCCCUUGAUACUGCUAGUCUAGAGUCCGAGAGAGGUGAGUGGAAUUCCUAGUGUAGAGGUGAAAUUCGUAGAUAUUAGGAAGAACACCAGUGGCGAAGGCGGCUCACUGGCUCGGUACUGACGCUGAGGUGCGAAAGCGUGGGGAGCAAACA